GGCUACGUUUCCAUUUGUGAUAUCCAGCACUUGCACAAAAGACAUCGGAAAUAACCAAGAGAAAAUCUUCCGGAAUAGACGUAUUGCAUCAACUGUUACAAAGGAUCAUCUAUCAGAUUUCCUGCUGCCUCCAGUGUCACCAAACUACGAUGAGGUUAUAAAAACCUUAUAAGUUGUGUUAGUUAGUGGAUGUGCGAAUGUGUUUAUUGAAUACACACUUCAUUAUUAAAAUGUGCGAAAGAAAACAGGAGAUCACGCAUGGAGCAUUGAUAUCGCUAGACUAAUCAUCGGCAGAAGUCAGUGGUACGAACAUUUAAACAUGAUGUUUGCGAGGACAGGAAAUAUGCUAGUGAAGACCAACAAUGAUGUGAAGUAGAAAACUUAACGCUUUCUAUUGAAAUUAGUUUUUUUUCCAAGCACAUUUUAUAUAUCUGUGUUUGGGUUCAGUUUCGAUGGUAAUCGAAGCU